UUUAGGACAAAUGUUUUCCGGCAGUUUUUGUCACACUACAUGCAACUGAGGAUUUCGUAGGUAUCUUCGUUGAUGGAACAGUCGCCAGCAUUGGUAACUUCUCUAGACCGCCAUGUACUCCCCACAGACCAGCUCCUUUGAUUGGAUACUUGAUAAACCUAUAGAAAAGAUAAAUACCCAGUCAAACUACCUUAGUGAAAUAAGUUUGGCUAACUUUCUCACUCAAUAAAAACAGGUAGAAUGAGAAUAGACCUUUCUGGAGUUCCAAAUAACCGCUGUGUUCUUUGAUUUUAUAGCGUAUCACAUGGGGUUAGCCUCGUAUCAGUGUGUCUAUAUAUAGACCGUUUUCUCAAGGUUGCGUGCGCAUCCAAAUUUAAGGAACUUGACGGAACACGAGUCAUGCAUUGUACACUAUGGAAUUUUUAUCGAUAAGAGUCCAUAAAUUUGAUUCUUCUCGACUUUAAAUAUAAAACUGGCUUCUCAAUUUUACGGAAUUUAAUUUUUACAGUUUUGUGGCAUGGCCCGUCAAGAUUGGAUGCGCACGUUAAACAAAAUCACCCCCACCCCUCCAGGGCGAGAUUCUAAUAUAGCGAAUGCUUCCAAAUUAAAGGUUUUGUAAACUUAUCUUAAAAGCAACGUAAAUUAAAAGGGCCUAAUCGUA